rnacentral:rRNA from 1 species
AUACGGAGGGUGCGAGCGUUAUCCGGAUUUAUUAGGUUUAAAGGGUGUGUAGGCGGGAGCCUAAGUCAGUGGUGAAAUCUCACAGCUUAACUGUGAAACUGCCAUUGAAACUGGGUUUCUUGAGUAUAGUUGAGGUAGGCGGAAUGUGUAAUGUAGCGGUGAAAUGCAUAGAUAUUACACAGAACACCGAUUGCGAAGGCAGCUUACUAAGCUAUUACUGACGCUGAUGCACGAAAGCGUGGGUAGCGAACAGGAUUAGAUACCCUGGUAGUCC